GACGUAGGGCGCGAGCGUUGUCCGGAUUUAUUGGGCGUAAAGGGCUCGUAGGCGGUCUGUUGCGUCGGGAGUGAAAACUUACAGCUUAACUGUGAGCGUGCUUCCGAUACGGGCAGACUUGAGGUAUUCAGGGGAGAACGGAAUUCCUGGUGUAGCGGUGAAAUGCGCAGAUAUCAGGAGGAACACCGGUGGCGAAGGCGGUUCUCUGGGAAUAUCCUGACGCUGAGGAGCGAAAGUGUGGGGAGCGAACAGG
rnacentral:rRNA from 1 species